AGCUACCUCAGGGAAACCUCAUGAACACAAGCAUGAACAUGUUAAACAUGAAAAAGCAAUCUCUCAGAUUAAGCCAGAGGAGAAAAUUAAACAACAAAAGACAACUCCCACUGUGAAAUCAGAGCAUGAAGCAGUCAGACAACAAAAAGAUGUUCCACGAACAAAACCAGUCAAACCGAAAACCACUGCAAAGCCAACAGCUGAAAUCCCAACAGCAG